GUCGAACGGUAACAGCUCUUCGGAUGCUGACGAGUGGCGGACGGGUGAGUAAUGCGUAGGAAUCUGUCUUUUAGUGGGGGACAACCCAGGGAAACUUGGGCUAAUACCGCAUGAGCCCUGAGGGGGAAAGCGGGGGAUCUUCGGACCUCGCGCUAAGAGAGGAGCCUAUUUCCGAUUAGCUAGUUGGCCGGGUAAAGGCCCACCAAGGCGACGAUCGGUAGCUGGUCUGAGAGGACGACCAGCGACGCGCACACUGGGACUGAGACACGGCCCAGACUCCUACGGGAGGCAGCAGUGGGGAAUUUUUCGCAAUGGGCAUCCCUAUGGCAACCCUGACGAAGCAAUGCCGCGUGGAUGAAGAAGGCCUUCGGGUUGUAAAGUCCUUUCGUGGAGGACGAUAAGGUGGGUUCUAAUACCUAUUGACGUGAAUCCAAGAAGAAGCACCGGCAUCUUAUAACUCCGUGCCAGCAGCCGCGGUAAUACGGGCGGGUGCAAGCGUUAAUCGGAAUCACUGGGCUUAAAGGGUGCGUACGUUAGGUCUGUCGUGAAAUCCCCGGGCUCAACCUGGGAAUGGCGGUAGAAACCGGCGCACUAAAGUAUGGGAGAGGGUGGUGGAAUUCCAGGUGUAGCGGUGAAAUGCGUAGAUAUCUGGAGGAACAUCAGUGGCGAAGGCGGCCACCUGGCCCAAUACUGACGCUGAGGCACGAAAGCGUGGGGAGCAAACAGGAUUAGACGCGAUAAAUACCCUGGUAGUCCUCGCCCUAAACGAUGAAUACUAGAUGUUUGGUGCCUAGCGUACUGAGUGUCGUAGCUAACGCGAUAAGUAUUCCGCCUGGGAAGUACGGCCGCAAGGUUAAAACUCAAAGGAAUUGACGGGGGCCCUCACAAGCGGGUUUAAUUCGAUGCAACGCGAAGAACCUUACCUGGGCUUGACAUGUCCGGAAUUCUGCAGAGAUGCGGAAGUGCCCUUCGGGGAAUCGGAACACA
rnacentral:rRNA from 1 species